rnacentral:rRNA from 1 species
UACGUAGGGUGCAAGCGUUGUCCGGAAUUACUGGGCGUAAAGCGCACGUAGGCGGCUUUGUAAGUUAGAGGUGAAAGCCCGGAGCUCAACUCCGGAAUUGCCUUUAAGACUGCAUCGCUAGAAUUGUGGAGAGGUGAGUGGAAUUCCGAGUGUAGAGGUGAAAUUCGUAGAUAUUCGGAAGGACACCAGUGGCGAAGGUGACUCACUGGACACAUAUUGACGCUGAGGUGCGAAAGCGUGGGGAGCAAACAGG